UCUCUCUCAGGAUGACACCUGGAGGGUUUCUAGUAUUCUACCAGUCUUGGCUACAGGAGGGAGAGUCAAGCAGAAGCAUACCCAUUCCAUUUCUAGUUAGGGCAGUGGCUAUCAAAUGGAAGACAAUCUGUUACAAGU